AAUUCUCAAUCACUACAAUCUUGUGUUGUUUAGUGGAUUGGAGGUGGGGGUUUUUGUGGGUUUAUUAAAUAGAUCUGCUCCCCUUAAAAUCAUUAGCUGGAAUGCCUUUGCAAAACCAACUAUCAGUAUGAUAAUUAUCUACUCUGAUGUUGUUGUAAAAGGGGAUCUGCUUUCAAACUGUCGUUCAGACACUAUGAAUCA
rnacentral:misc_RNA from 1 species